rnacentral:rRNA from 1 species
GGAAUAUUGAACAAUGGGCGCAAGCCUGAUCCAGCAAUGCCGCGUGGGUGAAGAAGGCCUUCGGGUUGUAAAGCCCUUUUGUACGGGAAGAAAAGCUGCCGGCUAAUACCUGGCGGUCAUCACGGUACCGUAAGCAUAAGCACCGGCAAAAUUCGUCCCAGCCGCCGCGGUAAUACGAAGGGUGCAAGCGUUAAUCGGAAUUACUGGGCGUAAAGCGUGCGUAGGCGGUUUGUUAAGUCCGAUGUGAAAGCCCUGGGCUCAACCUGGGAAUGGCACUGGAAACUGGCGAGCUAGAGUAAGGUAGAGGGUGGCGGAAUUCCCGGUGUAGCGGUGAAAUGCGUAGAGAUCGGGAGGAACAUCCGUGGCGAAGGCGGCCACCUGGACCAUUACUGACGCUGAGGCACGAAAGCGUGGGGAGCAAAC